rnacentral:rRNA from 1 species
AUGACGUUCAAGCGGAGGAACGGCGGGCGCAACAAGCACGGCCGCGGCCACGUCAAGUACAUCCGCUGCUCCAACUGCGCCAAGUGCUGCCCCAAGGACAAGGCUAUCAAGCGUUUCUUGGUGAGGAACAUCGUGGAGCAGGCUGCUGUGAGAGAUGUGCAGGAGGCUUGUGUACAUGAUGGAUAUGUUCUUCCCAAGCUGUAUGCCAAGGUGCACCACUGCGUUUCCUGUGCCAUCCAUGCUCACAUUGUCCGUGUCCGCUCCCGUGAGAACAGGAGGAACCGGGAGCCCCCGCAGCGUUUCAGGCGCAGGGACGACGGCCCGAGGCCUGGACAGGGUGGCCCGCCCCGUGCCGGCGGCCCUGGUGCCCCUGGUGGUGCGCCUGCUGGCGCCGGUGCCGUUCCUGGUGCCCCUGGUGGUGCGCCUGCUGGCGCCGGUGCCGUUCCUGGUGCCCCUGCUCCCCGUGUCUAG